CAUUACCUUUAUUCAACAUGAUGUCACUGCAGCAUUGUGUGUUUUCUCUGAUGUUUCUUUCCAUUCUAACAGGUGUCAGCUGUGAAGAACUCACUCCAGUCGAGACAGAAAAGAACAGUUUAGAAGGCAGCUCUGUUACUCUGUCCUACAAAUACUCCAAACAAGCUGAUAUCAAUGAUUAUUUCUUCUGGUAUCGACAAUAUCCAGGAAAACCACCAGAGUUCAUCAUAUUCAUCUCAGGGAUGAACAUUACAAAAAAAGCAGAAUCUCUGACAUUGGACACAAGGUUCUCUACGAAACUGUCUGAAGAAAAGUAUCGUGUGGAUCUUCACAUCUCCUCUGCUGCAGUGUCUGACUCUGCUCUGUACUACUGUGCUCUGAGGCCCACAGUGACAGGAAACACCAAAACUCUGUACAAAAACCUUUGGAGCAAAGACAACACAAUACUCCACAACAUCCACCAGAGGGAGUCACACACUGAUAAACUACAAUAA